CAGUGUCCUCGAAGAAAAAAAGCAGUCGCGCGAGUAACUUGCAAAAUGGUGCAGCUUGGAUGUUUGUGUAGUAAAGGCGUAAUACCUACCUGUUGAUGCAUGUAGCUUGGAUUACUCUACUUCUUGGAUUACUUCGGGGAUGCGUAGAGGAUAUGAAGCUCGAUUUUGUUCUCCUUUCUUUUCGAAUAUUCCUUAUAUAUCCAUACCAUCUUUUUAUCUUACAUAUUUAAAGAAUUAUAGCGGAAAAUACCUUGCACAAAGACAGCUUCGUGAUGGUGUCGAAAGAUAUAAAAAAAAAUGUAUUCUGCUUUUAAUUAUUUUAUUAGAUGCGCAAAGAGUUGUCCAAUCGUUUCCAAAAAUGUAUCUAUUCUUAUGAUAACUUUUUGAAUAUAGCUGCGUUAAGGAAAUAACUCCUUGAACAUGUAAUAAAAUCAUUUUCAAAGCAGAAUAUAUUUCUUUUGAUAAAUCCAUGGUGUAUACGAUCAUACAUAAAUUUACUAUAUCUUACAACUCUAUUCUGCUUUCUAGCAUAAGAUUAU
rnacentral:lncRNA from 1 species